AGCCCGACCCCCAGAGUUUUGCAGCAGACGUGAUCGGCACAUGUCCUGGCUGGGGAGGGCAGGCUCGGGAGGAGAGGGGGCGAUGGGAGAAAAUCACUUCUGAUCAGGAGACGUCAUCGCAGUGUUAUCAGAAAAUCUUUCCACUCAGAUCAGGUGGUAACCAGGAGUGUUGCUAUGGCGACAAGAGUCAGUUGAUUGACACCCUGAACAGGGUGCAUCGUGGUACGACAGGCUUCCUGCACAGGUACCCUAAGGGAAACCCCAAUGACCAGACAACCAAUCACUACAAGUUUGACAUCUUGCCACGGAGGUGGUGCUGUGAAGAGUCAGGUUCGGACGAGUACUGCAAACGGUACGCAGCAAAACGACCUGUUGGUACCUCAGCUCGCUACAGAGCCAUCA